ensembl:lncRNA
AAGGCCGGGGCAGAAGAGGAAAAACAAGCUGGAUGUGGCAUGGUAAAGCCUGUGCAAUUGGUGUAGGACCCUUGCUCUCAGAUCCUGCUACUGAUACGAGGAAUGUAGCAGCGAGAGACACAAAAGCGAACCCUCUUCCUGUGGGAUUCCAGCCUAGGAGGGAAGACGGCGAACAAGAAGCGACAAGUGUGUUGCAUGCUACCGAGAGAUGGCUGCUGCAGCUCUAGCCAUCAUAUCCAUAUUCCAGGCAGGAAGACAAUAAGGGGGAGAGAGUGCAUCACACAGUAAGUCUGUUAUAUCCUUUUAAGAAUUUCUAGAAGCUUUAGCAAAUAAUUUUUCCUUAUACCUCAUUGGCCAGACCUGUGUCAAACAACUGUCCCUAUCUCAAGGGAGGCUGAGAGAUGCCUUUUAGUUGGGCUCACUCUUUUUUGCCAACAAAAUCAGGUUUUGUUGCAAAGGGGAGAAUGGAUACUGGGUAGAUGUCUAGUAGAUUUUAUCUCUAGUACAAAUUUUUAUAAAUGGAAUUGCUGGAUUAAAUACUCUCAAACAUUUAAAAUUUUGAUUGUGCCAAAUUAUCCUCCAAAGGGCUUGUGCCAGGGCACUUGUACAGUGCAUGAAUAUGCCUGUUUCCCCACAUCGCUGCCUACAGACUGCUGCCAAACUCUUCAUGGUUUGCUAAUCCAAUGAGUGAAAAAUGAUCUCGCACUGUUUUAAUUUGCAUUCCUCUUGUUUUGAGUGAGGCUGAACAUCUUUUCAUAUGAUUAAAAACGUUGGCAUUUAAAGAGUAAUUGCAGAAAAAAUUCCAAGAGAGGGAAUGAGAAAGUAAGAAAAUGACAAGCAGUGACUGAGGAAGGAGGAGAAAACCAGGAGGGUCAAAGAAGGGGAUGAAGGAGCUUCAAAGACAAGAAGAGGAUGUGAGGGACUCUAUCAGAUGUGCAAAGAGAUAAGAUGAGGACAAAGGAGUGCACACUGGGUUUGGCAAUGUGGAGGCUACUUGGAACUCCACGUUGGUGUAGAAACCAAGUGAACCUCCUCUCCUGAGAAGUAUUAUUUUCCUGUUAUUUAAAUGAGUAAAUAAAUCCAGAGGGGUUAAAUAACUGCUCAAGGUCACACAGCUUGUAAUGGAGGAGCUGGAAUUUGAAUCCAGGUGUGUCGGACCCCCAGAUACCCAGAAAGUGAAUCCACAGAGGCUGUGAUGGAGGGAGAAUGUUUGGAAUUACUUUCUUGAAGACCUGGAAAGGGCCUUGCCGUUUAUGGAUCCCCUGACUAAUUUUACAAAUGAGGGAGCGGAGUUCCAUUAAAGUGAAGAGACUUGCUAGAAAGAGUGGGAGCCCAGCAAGAGCUGGGCUCGUCCAGCGCGUUUUGUGGGAUCACUUUUUUCUCCAGCAGGGGGCGCCAGCCAGCAGCUCGGGCUAAGUAAAAAAAAAAAAAACAAAAAACAAAAAUCACCUGAGGCGGUCAGCACCACGGACAGGGCAACAUACCUGGGCCUUAGGGGAAGCCCCAGCCUCCUGAAGGAGAAAACUGGACCCAAGUCUUAAUGUAGUUAAGUAUUCAAAAAAGACCAGGCUAUUGUUAAAUUCUGGGUCCUGUUGGUAGUCCUUUGGAAGUGAUACAGGUGCUUAAUGCAGACCUGAAAAUUGCUUUUCCAUUUACUCUGGUGGCAGAACUUCUAAGCUGCCCCACCUGGGGUCACAAACGUAAGUUAUUAUCUAUCCUUGGCUCUCAAUAAAGCCAACCAGAUGGCCAAACCCCUAGUGCGUUGACGGUUCAUUCGCCCAUUCAUUUAAAAUAUUUUUACAAUUAGGCUUAAAUUAAUUUAUUGUAAUUCUAACAAAAUAUGGGCUAGCACCCAGAUAAUCCCUGUUGAGGAGUUUGUUCAGAGUGGCAAGGUGCCCAGCGUCUGAAGACAAAUCAUGAUUGGCUAAGCCAGUCAUGGUAAUAGAUUCCUUUUUUUGUUCGAAUACUCACUUUCCCAGAAACUGUUGCAACUGGAUGACAAUGGGGGUGGUCAUGCGAUACAGUUCUGACCAAUGAGAUGAAAGAGAUGGGCAUGUGAAGAGUGGUCAUUGGUAUUAGCUCUCCCACCUUUUUCUUUCCUUGAAUGUGAACAUGGUGCCUGCAAUAGAGUCAGCCAUCUUCUAACAGCAAGUGCCAAUAAGAGACCAAACAGCCUGAGCAGAAAGAUAGGUCCUUGAUGACUCUGUUACUGACCCUGGAUUCCAAUCUCUAAGUUUCUUGUUAUGUGAGAUGAUUAAACAUCUUUAUUGUUUAAGCCACUGUUACUAAGCUGCCUUGAGUGUUUGUAGAUAAAACCAUUUCUGUUAUACUGUUGGGCUUUUUAUU